CGUAGGGUGCAAGCGUUAUCCGGAAUUAUUGGGCGUAAAGAGCUCGUAGGCGGUUUGUCGCGUCUGCUGUGAAAACUGGGGGCUCAACUCCCAGCCUGCAGUGGGUACGGGCAGACUAGAGUGCGGUAGGGGAGAUUGGAAUUCCUGGUGUAGCGGUGGAAUGCGCAGAUAUCAGGAGGAACACCGAUGGCGAAGGCAGAUCUCUGGGCCGUAACUGACGCUGAGGAGCGAAAGCAGUGGGAGCGAACAGGAUU
rnacentral:rRNA from 1 species